rnacentral:rRNA from 1 species
AUUGAACGCUGGCGGCAGGCCUAACACAUGCAAGUCGAACGAGUGGCGGACGGGUGAGUAAUGUCUGGGAAACUGCCCGAUGGAGGGGGAUAACUACUGGAAACGGUAGCUACUACCGCAUACCCUCGGAUGUGCCCAGGUGGGAUUAGCUAGUAGGUGGGGUAACGGCUCACCUAGGCGACGAUCCCUAGCUGGUCUGCGAGGAUGACCAGCCACAAGUGAAAUGAGAAAAGGUCCAGACUCCGAAGGGAGGCAGCAGGGGGGAAUAGUGCAAAAUGGGCGCAAGCCGGAUGCAGCCAUGCCGAGGGUAUGAAGAAGGCCUUCGGGUUGUAAAGUACUUUCAGCGAGGAGGCGUUACUCGCAGAAGAAGCACCGGCUAACUCCGUGCCAGCAGCCGCGGUAAUAC